GACGAACGCUGGCGGCGUGCUUAACACAUGCAAGUCGAACGGUGACGGAGAGCUUGCUCUCCUGAUCAGUGGCGAACGGGUGAGUAACACGUGGGCAACCUGCCCAGACUUCGGGAUAACGCUUCGAAAGAGGUGCUAAUACCGGAUACGAGCUCCUUGGGCAUCCUUGGAGUUGGAAAGUUUUUCGGUCUGGGAUGGGCCCGCGGCCUAUCAGCUAGUUGGUGAGGUAACGGCUCACCAAGGCGACGACGGGUAGCCGGCCCGAGAGGGCGACCGGCCACACUGGGACUGAGACACGGCCCAGACUCCUACGGGAGGCAGCAGUGGGGAAUAUUGCGCAAUGGGCGAAAGCCUGACGCAGCAACGCCGCGUGAGGGAUGACGGCC
rnacentral:rRNA from 1 species